rnacentral:lncRNA from 1 species
UUUAUUUGUGUUUAUUGUCUAAAAGAAAUGCACUUUGAAAUAACUGUUGGGCCUAAGAGAUGAGUUCAGUAAAUGUAGAUUCUACAAUUUCCCUGAUUAAGAGCUAUGUACAUAAAAGUUGAAUUGGUUGAAUUCCAUUUUAAAGAGUUCACUUAGUCUGUAAAAUAUGCACUUUUAUAUGUAAAUAUGUGUUACGGCCUAAAUUGACCCCAACUUAUUUUUAGUCUUUCAUGCCCUAGGACCAUGUUAUAACUGUGUGGUGUGCUAUUUGUAACUUUUCAUUCCAGUUAAAGCGCAUUAAAUAUUUAAGAAAGAAUUAUUUAUGGCAAAAUUGCUUCACAAAUUUUAAUUCGGUUGAAGAAAAUCACAAUUUUUUAUAAGCAACCCACCCCCCAUCCCCAAUUUUCAUAAGUAAUUUAGUUGCUGUUUUCCAGAUUCCCUACAACAUUAUAUAUUUCACUUUCUAUUCUUUGACUAAUAUUAUAUCAUAACACAUUAUUGUCAUAUUCUCUGACUCUCCUCCCUUUCUUGAAGACAAAACUGAACAGAGUAUUUGAUUGCUAUAUUGUUGACCAUCAGAACUUCUCUUUUUAUUAUCCUUGCAAAAAUACGAUGCUUUUCAAUUAAAGAUGACGUAAAUUUGCACUUUUAUUGACAAUUAUCCAGUGACUGGAAUUCCCGUGAACUAAUUUUAGCAAAUGCAAACACUGAUUUAUGAUUUUUUGCAUCUUGUUUACAUGUUUGUACUAGAAUUAUAGUAUGCAGCUUAGAUAUAUCUGUAAACUUUUUAAUUGAGAACAAUUUUCACAAAACAAAAGCGAAUUGUUUUACACCAUGUACACUUUUUAUUUGCUCAUUGUUAAAGGCUGAACAUUGACCUAUAGUUGUUAAUUUCUGUGUCAUUUGGUCUCUUGUGGAGUGAUGUCUCAAAAUCAUAGAUCAUCAUAGCACAUCGUCUUUUAUUAUAUAUUAAGUGAAAAUACUUCUGGAUCUUGAAGGUGCCUAAGCAUAAAUUCCACUAAAAAAUAUCCACAAAAAGAUAAGAUUGAUCUUUUAAAAGCAUAAUUAUGCCAUGUGAAUAAAUUUAUCAGUUUUCAAGAGUAAACUUGACAACAUGUCAUCCUUAUGUUAAAAGCAAGUAAUUUAAAAUGAUUGGUGCCACAUAUUUUUAAAUCCAAGAUAAUAGGUAGAAGUAAAUUUAUUUUCUGCUGCCCUGUAAAUUAGAAAUAGCGAGAACACUGGAGGAACUCUCGAUGAUGAGCAAAAUUAUUCUGUGUUCCAUAGUGUUUUGCAGUUUUAUUUACACCCAAAAGUGUUAAAAAUUCAGAAUUUGACAGAUAUUUCAAGAAAUCUUUUAUAGUGAAAAUGCAGAACCCAAAAAGGCUAUCAUUGUUGCCUAUGUAAAUAAUUACUUCAUUUAAACCUAAAGCGAAAUAACAAUUUCUGGCACAUCACUAUAUUUUUCGAGAUCAUUAGAAUUAGGAUAGGUAAAUUAAUAAGCUACUAGGUAGUAAACUGUAUCAGAAGAAAAUUGCUGAUCAUCAUGAACAAAUACCGGUAGUCUAUAUCAAAUUUUUACUGUUUUUUUAUUCUUAUGUUCAAGGGGUAGGAAUCACUGUAAGAACCAGUAUUCUGUCAAGGACCUUGUCUUUAGGCAUUUCUCUUUGCAUGUAUUAAGGCAUAUAUAAAAAAGGGGGCAUAGUAUUGCUAAUUUAGUGACAUUUGUGUAUUUCUUAUUGCAUUAUGUUGCCAAAAUCUCCAUAAAAUAUUAAAAUUAGGUAAAAAUUAAGAGGCUUUAAAUUUUCUUAGUAACGUCAAAUUGAAUUUUCUGUACACUGUUCAAAUAAAACACAUAACAGCUAUGAUAAAAUCUUAAUUUCAGCCUUUUCAUAUUUCAUAUAAUUUUGUUUUGCUCAGACAUUGGUGACAAACAAUAAUACAUAUAUAAAUUAGAGUUAUCAAAUCACCAUGAUUAUCAGCUUCAAGUCUUUAAAAACACCUUGUUUUAAACUUAGUAGAACAGUUGAAAUAUGCUGGUCAAUGCCCCAUGUCCUCUACAAAUGGGAUAACUGUAAAGAAAGUCAUUAAAUGAUGAACAAUUGUUUCUUUGAUCCAAAGAAUUGAAUAUAAAAAGUAGGGGUAUACAGUAAUCAACUAAUCAAAGGGUAUCUGAUUUUAUUUCAGAAAAAGUCAUUAAAAUGGCUUUCAUUUUUAUGCCCCACCUACGAUAGUAGAGGGCCAUUAUGUUUUCUGGUCUGUGCGUCCGUCCGUCUGUUCGUUCGUUCGUUCGUUCGUUCGUCCGUUCUUCCGUCUGUCCCGCUUCAGGUUAAAGUUUUUGGUCGAGGUAGUUUUUGAUGAAGUUGAAGUCCAAUCGACUUCAAACUUGUACACAUGUUCCUAUGAUAUGAUCUUCUAAUUUCAAUGCCAAAUAAAAUUUUACCCCAAUUUCACGGUCCACUGAACAUAGAAAAUGAUAGUGCGAGUGGGGCAUUUGUGUACUGAGGACACAUUCUUGUUAUAAUUAAAAAAUAAGGGGUAUAAAGGGGAGAUAAUUUUGACACAGUAGAAAUUAGAAUCCUGACUGCAAAAGUAGUAGUUUGAUAUGAAAAUUUCUAUAUUAUUUUCCAAAAGAGCAUGCUAGGUUUAUUUUGAAUGGAAAAUUUACAAAAUAGUGUAAAUUUCGAAAGUUAUUGUUUUAAAAUUGAAGAAUGAAUGAGAGGUUUCCUGAUGUUGAUGUUAACUUGAUCUUUUGAAGAAUAUUUUUUAUGCGUUUGGUUCUUGCAUAACCUCAAUAAGUAAAUUCAUAGUUUCCAAUUUCUGUUGAAAUUGAUUGCAUAUAUAAGAUAGACAAGUUUUGGUUAACUGGAUCAAGAAUGUUAAAUAAAAUAUGUUUUUGCAAAUUUGGACGACAAUUAAUUGCAAUUAUGUACCAUUUCAACAAUAGAAGUAGUAUAGACUUGCAAAUCCAUACCAUUACAUCACAGGAAGUAGUAUGGUUGUCUGAGCGAAGCCAAUUGGAAGUACGUACCUCUUAGUGAAGCUAAUUGGGAGCACACCCUCUGUCUUGUUGCGAAGCUGAUUGGAAGCAGUACAUAUAUACCUCUGUCUGCAAAAAGCUAAUUAGAAGUAGUACCCCUGGCAGAGCGGUCCCAAUUAGAAGCAUGUAACUCUGAGGGAAGCCAAUUGGAAGCAUGUACCUCUGCAAAAUUUGAUCAAACAUUAUUCAACAAAUUUUAUUUAACAUUGUUUUUAAAGUUUAAUUUCAUACCAACUCUCAUUUUCUAUUUAUAAUUACUCCCCUUGUUGACAUUGUGACGUGCAAAUUAUCACUUCACUAUUUUGUACUCGCCUGUGGUUUUUAUCCUGAUGAAGAUGCACUAGAAACAG